rnacentral:ncRNA from 1 species
ACAAAGCAGUGCUGAACGUGCAGAAGUCAGCAGAGGUCAUAGUAGCCGAGUAUCCACAGGGCACUUAGGCGAAGGAC